UACGUAGGGUGCGAGCGUUAAUCGGAAUUACUGGGCGUAAAGGGCGCGUAGGUGGCCUUUUGAGUCAGACGUGAAAUCCCCCGGCUUAACCUGGGAACUGCGUCUGAUACUGGAAGGCUUGAGUUCGGGAGAGGGAUGUGGAAUUCCAGGUGUAGCGGUGAAAUGCGUAGAUAUCUGGAGGAACACCGGUGGCGAAGGCGGCAUCCUGGACCGAAACUGACACUGAGGCGCGAAAGCCAGGGGAGCAAACGGG
rnacentral:rRNA from 1 species